CGAUGCGUUUGCGCUGACAGUGACGUAUUAAUGAUCGUUUAGCGCGUUUACCGUUGUCGACCAACUACAAAUUGGUCAAAGUAGAUUUAAUUGGGAAAGGCAGCUUCGGUCGGUCUUUCAGUCUUCGAAUUCGAUUCGAAUGGAAUCACGAUCGUUUCGUUGCACCAGCCAGACAUUCAAUAACAUCUUUAUCGAACUAAGCACAGAAUAUUUUGAUAAUCGGUCCAGAAUAAACCAGAAAUGUAAAUAUAGGAACGCCGAGUAUACAAAGUUUUCGUGCUAAAGAAGAAUGUAAACGGAUAGCAACACAAAUAAUUCUCAUUAAAUCCAGAUUUUCAUUGACGGAAUAAAUGUAAUUUUUACCACUUAGAAUUACAUCGUUCUGUGAAAUAUAUGUAGUAUAAUAUAUACAGAAUGUCCCAAUGUCGAUGAUGAUAUAACUUGGAGCUGGUGAUCGUACGUGAGGAAUGGCUGGCACAGGCUCAGCGACACGGAGAAAGAGACAAGAACGAGACAAAAAGGAAACGUACCUGGCUGAGAACGGAGCUGCUCAGCUGAGACUUGACAAGAAGGGAUUUAAACACCUCUCGUUCUACAUUUCCACUUGUGGGAGAGCAGAUCUUCUCGUAGACUUCUCUGUAGAACGCCGGUAUGCAGCCUGGUUUGGUGCCGCGACGAGAACCAAAAUAAAAGGACAUCACUUCACGAGAAAUCUCACUUUUCUUCAGAAAAAUUAGCAUUACGCAGAGAGCGAUACAAACGCGUUAUUUACCAAUUAGGAAAAACCCCAGAGAUGUUAAUGAGAAUUAUUAUUGCGUAAACAUGUAUCAACUUUAGAUAGCGAAUGCAAUAGCGUAUAUCGAUGAUCAAUGUUUCGAAACUGGUUUCAAUAAAUUCGUCCAAUUAAAUUUUGCCUAACCGUUUCUUUAACGUAUUCGUAAUAUCAAUUCGUAUUUUACCAUGGAAUGUUAGCGUUAAUCGCGAAUAUUUUGUUGAUAUUCUAAAAAUACAUCCAACGUGUAAUAUUUGAAAGUGUGUUUACAACGCGAUCGAAUAUAAAUAAUGAAACGUUUAAUUCACAAACAGUGAGAAAAAAGUUGUACAAACAAAGCACAACGCGCAAAUAUGAUGCUAUUAAGAGAAGGAAAGAAGGGAAGAGAAAGAAAGAUGGAGUUAGUAACGCUCGACAACGUUAAAAGGGAUACACGUUGAUCUUAAAAACCGGACGACCUCGGGAAGACCUUGUCAAAGGUGCGUACGGUACACGGGUUUAUCAUUUACCGAACGACAGAUCGGUCGACGCCAUAUUGGAUCACUUGUAGAUCAUCCGGUAUCCUGCGAGAUGGUUGCGCCGCGGCUUUUCGAAAAUACAGUCACGUUUCACGAAUUGUCUUUCGUACGAUGUUUUAUGAGCACUCGCGCUGCUUAUUUUGAUGGAAUGACAAUAUGACCUGUCGGCGAGAUACCAA